rnacentral:rRNA from 1 species
AGCGAACGCUGGCGGCAUGCCUAACACAUGCAAGUCGAACGAGACCUUCGGGUCUAGUGGUGCACGGGUGCGUAACGCGUGGGAACCUGCCCUUAGGUUCGGAAUAACUCCCCGAAAGGGGUGCUAAUACCGGAUAAUGUCUUCGGACCAAAGAUUUAUCGCCUUUGGAUGGGCCCGCGUUGGAUUAGCUAGUUGGUAGGGUAAAAGCCUACCAAGGCGACGAUCCAUAGCUGGUCUGAGAGGAUGAUCAGCCACACUGGGACUGAGACACGGCCCAGACUCCUACGGGAGGCAGCAGUGGGGAAUAUUGGACAAUGGGCGAAAGCCUGAUCCAGCAAUGCCGCGUGAGUGAUGAAGGCCUUAGGGUUGUAAAGCUCUUUUACCCGGGAUGAUAAUGACAGUACCGGGAGAAUAAGCUCCGGCUAACUCCGUG